GUCCCUGUGUGUGAACUGCUUCAGCUGAGGAGGCUGGAUAUGAAACAGAGGGGGGAGCUGCAGAGAGAAAGGGAAGUUGAAAAGGAAGUAGGAAGAAUGAAGUCAUACUUGUCAGACUGCCAGACACCAUUUUACAGCUCGGAGCAGGAGGACAACAACAGGACUGGAGAAGAUGAGUGAUUUAAAAGUUGAGGAAGAGGACAAAUCUCCAGUCCCCAGCUGUCUGUCUCUGAAGAGUGACGGGUCUAUGGGGGACCCUCCAGACUUCAGUAAUGAACCUGGACCCUCAGACACAAAAGGGAAGAGGAAGAGUGGUGUUCCUGUGGAGGAGCAGCUGUCCAGCUGUGCUCUGUGU